rnacentral:rRNA from 1 species
GAUGAACGCUGGCGGCGUGCCUAAUACAUGCAAGUCGAGCGGAAAGGCCCUUCGGGGUACUCGAGCGGCGGACGGCUGAGUAACACGUAGGAACGUACCCCAAACUGAGGGAUAAGCACCAGAAAUGGUGUCUAAUACCGCAUGUGAUCUUCGGAUUAAAGCUUUAUGCGGUUUGGGAACGGCCUGCGUAAGAUUAGCUUGUUGGUGAGGUAAUGGCUCACCAAGGCGACGAUCUUUAGCUGGUCUGAGAGGAUGACCAGCCAGACUGGGACUGAGAACGGCCCAGACUCCUACGGGAGGCAGCAGUAGGGAAUUUUCCACAAUGGGCGAAAGCCUGAUGGAGCAACGCCGCGUGCAGGAUGAAUGUCUUCGGAUUGUAAACUGCUUUUAUAUGUGACGAUUAUGACGGUAGCAUAUGAAUAAGGAUCGGCUAACUCCGUGCCAGCCGCCGCGGUAACAC